rnacentral:rRNA from 1 species
UAGUCCACACUGUAAACGAUGGAUACUAGGUGUAGGGAAUAUUAAGUUUUCUGUGCCGUCGCAAACGCAAUAAGUAUCCCACCUGGGGAGUACGACCGCAAGGUUGAAACUCAAAGGAAUUGACGGGGGCCCGCACAAGCAGUGGAGUAUGUGGUUUAAUUCGAAGCAACGCGAAGAACCUUACCAGGGCUUGACAUAUGCAGGAAUAUAUAAGAGAUUAUAUAGCUCUUCGGAGUCUGCAUAC